rnacentral:rRNA from 1 species
AUUGAACGCUGGCGGCAUGCUUUACACAUGCAAGUCGAACGGCUGCACGGGCUUCGGCCUGGUGGCGAGUGGCGAACGGGUGAGUAAUACAUCGGAACGUACCCAGUAGUGGGGGAUAGCCCGGCGAAAGCCGGAUUAAUACCGCAUAUGCCCUGAGGGGGAAAGCGGGGGACCGAAAGGCCUCGCGCUAUUGGAGCGGCCGAUGGCUGAUUAGCUAGUUGGUGGGGUAAAGGCCUACCAAGGCGACGAUCAGUAGCUGGUCUGAGGGGACGACCAGCCACACUGGGACUGGGACACGGCCCAGACUCCUACGGGAGGCAGCAGUGGGGAAUUUUGGACAAUGGGCGAAAGCCUGAUCCAGCAAUGCCGCGUGUGCGAAGAAGGCCUUCGGGUUGUAAAGCACUUUUGUUUGGAAAGAAAAGGCUCUGGUUAAUACCUGGGGUCGAUGACGGUACCGGAAGAAUAAGGACCGGCUAACUACGUGCCAGCCGCCGCCGUAA